ensembl:lincRNA
GGAAAAGUGGAACUUUGCAGUGAAAAGAAGCUGAAGAUAAGAGCAAAGAAGUUUAAGAAGGAGGAAUUGGUGGAGGAAGAACAUGAACGUAAGGCAGGGUGUGAGUACAGGAAUAAGGAAAGUGGUCACAGGACACACUCUCCCUUGAAAGCAUACCAUACGGUUUGGUGCUCUUAUCAAUAUACCCUGGUGUCUCCAUACCCAUACUGUGUAGAAGAAGAAACCUUGGACCUUGUUUAUAGAGGAAGACUCCAUACAGGCAAGGUUGGGAUCCCUUGAAGAGUGUCACUGUGCAUUGGACCCUGGCACAAGAAGCUGUGGCAGACACUGUUAGUUACCUAGAUAAAAUCCAUACCUGUUACAUUGCAUCUCUUCCCUGCUAAAAAAUCCUGCUUUCGUUCAGACAUUGAACACCCAUUUGCCUACUUCUGGCCCCACACAGAAGGUAAAAUGUAAAUUAACCUAAGUCACUCAGGGUCAUCUCAUCUCCUUUAUCAGUGAUGUUUUGUUAAACACUCUUUUUUCCCCUUAGACAUUAUCAUGUGUGACGAGCGGCUUACAUGGUCGUUUAUGUUGUUCAGCCAGGUUGCUGCUAUGAAGGGAAAGUCCACAAGAACCACAGAGAACUCAACCUGAAUACCUGACAACACCAAGCCAUUGAAUUCAUCACUCCUAUAACUGCCUUAUUCUGGGCUUCUUACCACGCAAUGUAGUAUUAUACCAUAUCCUUGUUUAGUUGGAUUUUCUGUUACAUGUUCCUGAAAUCACCCCACUUGAUGGAAAUGUGAAGGCAACAGAAAGCCAUAGAUUUUCCAUGUCCUCAUUACAUUGUCCAGAGGCAGACAGUACCUGGGGGCCUCUCAGUGAGGCUUUACUGUCUCAAAAAUGCC